ACACACACCAUUUUUUUUAUGUUUGCGAGACCACCACGGAGCUACCUGGAGACACUCUGUGCUUCUCAGCACACGUUCAGAACCUCACAGCAGAAAUCAAACUUAGUGCCAGGUAUCCUUUCUUUAUCAAGACGUUCAUAUUAGCAACACUUAUAUGCCCAAGUCUGGAAUGCCACAAGUCAACUGCACUCGGCUCUGCCUUCCCAAUGUUAACCUCUCCUUUAGCAACCGUCCCCUGAAGGAACACCCAGACUUCUCAAGCAUACCAUACGAUAUCAAAUUUCUACUCAUCUGCGGCAUAUACCUCACAUCUGUAAGUAUAAUUUCCAU